rnacentral:rRNA from 1 species
UACGGAGGAUCCGAGCGUUAUCCGGAUUUAUUGGGUUUAAAGGGUGCGCAGGCGGGAGAUUAAGUCGGCGGUGAAAUUUUGCAGCUCAACUGUAAAAGUGCCUUCGAAACUGGUUUCCUUGAGUGUAGAUGAAGUAGGCGGAAUUUGUGGUGUAGCGGUGAAAUGCAUAGAUAUCGCGAGGAACUCCGAUUGCGCAGGCAGCUUACUAAACUACUACUGACGCUCAGGCACGAAGGCGUGGGGAUCAAACAGGAUUAGAUACCCUGGUA